rnacentral:misc_RNA from 1 species
CCUCCGUAGGUGAACCUGCGGAGGGAUCAUUACAGAGUUCAUGCCCUACCGGGUAGAUCUCCCACCCUAUGUUAUUAUUACUUUGUUGCUUUGGCGGGCCGUUAGGCUCCGGCCCGACUACCGGCCCCGGCUGGUAAGCGCCCGCCAGAGGACCCAAAACCCUGAAUAUUAGUGUCGUCUGAGUACUAUAUAAUAGUUGAAACUUUCAACAACGGAUCUCUUGGUUCUG